rnacentral:rRNA from 1 species
UACGUAGGGCGCAAGCGUUGUCUGGAAUCAUUGGGCGUAAAGAGCUCGUAGGCGGCCUGUUGCGUCCGCUGUGAAAUCCCGGGGCUUAACCCCGGGCGUGCAGUGGAUACGGGCUGGCUGGAGGCAGGCAGGGGAGAACGGAAUUCCCGGUGUAGCGGUGAAAUGCGCAGAUAUCGGGAGGAACACCGGUGGCGAAGGCGGUUCUCUGGGCCUGUACUGACGCUGAGGCGCGAAAGCUAGGGGAGCGAACAGG